rnacentral:rRNA from 1 species
CCUACGGGGGGCAGCAGUGGGGAAUAUUGCACAAUGGGCGCAAGCCUGAUGCAGCAACGCCGCGUGAGGGAUGACGGCCUUCGGGUUGAAACCUCUGCCGAAAGCCAAGCGGUACUGGGAGAAAAAGCACCGGCUAACUACGUGCCAGCAGCCGCGGUAAUACGUAGGGUGCAAGCGUUGUCCGGAAUUAUUGGGCGUAAAGAGCUCGUAGGCGGUUUGUCGCGUCUGCUGUGAAAUCCCGAGGCUCAACCUCGGGCCUGCAGUGGGUACGGGCAGACUAGAGUGCGGUAGGGGAGAUUGGAAUUCCUGGUGUAGCGGUGGAAUGCGCAGAUAUCAGGAGGAACACCGAUGGCGAAGGCAGAUCUCUGGGCCGUACUGACGCUGAGGAGCGAAAGCGUGGGGAGCGAACAGGAUUAGAUACCCUUGUAGUC